CUUGCUCAGGGCCUAAUAAACCCGGACGGAGGGAGUAUCUUCUUUCCUCCCCACCACCUCCGAGCCGCCCGCUCCCAGCCGCCUGUUUCUUUUUCCCCAAUCUCCCCAUCAUGUUCUCUGUAGGUGGACGCAGCACCGCGCCAAGGCAGCAGCAACUCGGUGACGUUCCAGGCUACCCCCUCUCCGUCCGGUGGUGCCACGCUAAGCCACAGAGCGAGCCGCAUCUGCUCGGUCUUACUCUCUAGGCGCCUGGUGGAGUUGCAACGCGGUGGCCGUGGGGAUGCGCCGAGCCACCGCCGGGGGGCUGCACCAUGUUGAGACGCCGCCACCCCUUCAUGGCCGCGGACUCCGCGUCCAUUGCCCACGCCGUCCUCACCGAUGGCUUCUCCGUCGACAUCGGCAUGGUGUGCGCCGCUUGCCCCACCAGGCAACGACGGUUAUGGCAUCCUCAUCGGUGGAGACGGUCAGCUGCUCAGGAGCAUGGGUCGAGGCGAGAUGGUGGCAGAUGUGGUGUCUCCCUCCCAUGGCGUCCGCGGGAAUGGCCGGAUCUGUGUCUAGAAAGGCAUGGGAACGACCCCGGUUGUCGUCCGGCGAGCGCUGGAGAGGGAGUAGCAUAGGUGUUAUCCGUGAUUUGUUUUUAAUUUGAAGUUUUUUGUGUUUUGCUACUGGACAGGUGUAUUGUAUGGAAAAAUCUAUAAUUUUAAAUUUCAUGUGGUGUUUUA